UAAUAGAUAGGAACGUAUCCGGGAGUGGGGGAUAACUAGCCGAAAGGUUAGCUAAUACCGCAUAUUCUCUGAGGAGGAAAGCGGGGGACCAGAAAUGGCCUCGCGCUCGCGGAGUGGCCUAUCUCCGAUUAGCUAGUUGGUGAGGUAAAGGCUUACCAAGGCGACGAUCGGUAGCUGGUCUGAGAGGAUGAUCAGCCACACUGGGACUGAGACACGGCCCAG
rnacentral:rRNA from 1 species